AACUGUUUGAUACAUAAUAACAUGCAAGUACUAGCUAAUAAUCAAAAGGUUAAAUUAUUUUUAUUUUUACUAUCAAAUUAUCAUAAAUUACUAUCAUAAUUGUGGGUUGUCAUUGUGUGGCUUUUACUACUAAUAAUAUUAGUAUAAAUUUUGCUUAAACUCACCUUUAGUGAAUAAUAUCAUUAUAGGAAGUGAUUGACAUAAAGGAAGAAUUCAACACUCCAUUGACUACAACAAAGCUAGAUCUUGCUGAUGUCAUUAAAGAAUUAACAUACAAUCAACAAUUGCCCCAUUCUGUAUGGCACAGACUAGGUCUACAGUUAGGAUUACAAGAUUGUAGACUAGUGGAUAUAGACACUGACUAUAUAUAGAGGAAAGACAGAGGAGUGUUUUCAUGCUUGUAUGUCUGCCUGGUUAAGAGGAGAAGAUAAAGUGAGAGAGAAAGGAGGUCCCAGUUGGUCAUCAUUAGCUACAGCACUGGAUACAAUAGGAGAAAAAUAUAUUGCUUUUUACAUUAGAAAUAACCCUCGUAUUCCUUCCUCAUAGCUAGUUUAGUAUGUCAUUGUUCUAAUUAGCUGAGCUGAUAUCAUGUACAAAUUUCAAACUAUGUUUAUUAUUAUAACUAAUGUUUAUCACCUAAUGAAUAUUUUAUAUAUUGCUAUAAAACAAAAACUAAUUAUAUUUAUUAUACUUGUUUGUGUGGUCUAUAGUAUUAUUGAUUGUAGCACAUGAUUGACAUGAACUUGCAAAAUAACAA